rnacentral:rRNA from 1 species
ACGGGUGAGUAACACGUAAGGAACCUGCCUCAAGGAUUGGGAUAACUCCGAGAAAUCGGAGCUAAUACCGGAUAGUUCAACGGACCGCAUGGUCCGCUGAUGAAAGGCGCUCCGGCGUCACCUUGAGAUGGCCUUGCGGUGCAUUAGCUAGUUGGUGGGGUAACGGCCCACCAAGGCGACGAUGCAUAGCCGACCUGAGAGGGUGAUCGGCCACACUGGGACUGAGACACGGCCCAGACUCCUACGGGAGGCAGCAGUAGGGAAUCUUCCACAAUGGACGAAAGUCUGAUGGAGCAACGCCGCGUGAGUGAUGAAGGUUUUCGGAUCGUAAAACUCUGUUGUAAGGGAAGAACACGUACGAGAGGGAAUGCUCGUACCUUGACGGUACCUUACGAGAAAGCCACGGCUAACUACGUGCCAGCAGCCGCGGUAAUACGUAGGUGGCAAGCGUUGUCCGGAAUUAUUGGGCGUAAAGCGCGCGCAGGCGGCCUUUUAAGUCUGAUGUGAAAGCCCCCGGCUCAACCGGGGAGGGCCAUUGGAAACUGGAAGGCUUGAGUACAGAAGAGAA